GACGUAGGGGGCAAGCGUUGUCCGGAUUUAUUGGGCGUAAAGCGCGUGUAGGCGGCCAGAUAGGUCUGCUGUGAAAACUCGAGGCUCAACCUCGAGCUGUCGGCGGAAACCAUCUGGCUAGAGUCCGGAAGAGGAGAGUGGAAUUCCUGGUGUAGCGGUGAAAUGCGCAGAUAUCAGGAAGAACACCUAUGGCGAAGGCAGCUCUCUGGGACGGUACUGACGCUGAGACGCGAAAGCGUGGGGAGCGAACAGG
rnacentral:rRNA from 1 species